rnacentral:misc_RNA from 1 species
UUUCCGUAGGUGAACCUGCGGAAGGAUCAUUAAAAAAUGAAGACCCAUAUAAUGAGGGUCUUAUUAAUAAUCCCUACCCUCUGUGAAUUUGUUUGUUUUAUAAACUGUGUCUUUCCCUGUUUUUUGAUGGAGCUUGUUAAAAAAGCAAAAUCAAAUUCAGGGGAAUGGCAAAACCUUUUUUUAAAAUUAAACAUUUUGUAUUCAUUUGUCUAAAAAUUAUUUUUAUAAUAUAAAAACAACUUUGACAAUGGAUCUCUUGGUUCUCGCAACGAUGAAGAACGCAGCAAAAUGCGAUAAGUAAUGUGAAUUGCAGAAUACGUGAAUCAUCGAAUCUUCGAACGCAUAUUGCACUUUUUUGGUUUACCAAAAAAGUAUGUCUGUUUGAGUAUCAGUAAAAUAUUCUCAUAAAAACUUUUUGUUUUUAUGGUUAUGAGUGUUUUACAACGAUAAACAAGUUGUUUCACUUCAAAUUCUUUGUCUUAUAAAAAAUCAUUAAAAACUGAUUUUUUUUUAAAAUUGGAUAAGAUUUUCCUGUAAAAAAGGAAUAACCUAAACAAUUUUAAUAAAUUAAUUAGUUUGAUUUUUUAAAAGAUCUAACAAGGAAAAAAAAGUAAAAAUGAACUUGAUCUCAAAUCAGAUAAGAGUACCCGCUGAACUUAAGCAUAUCAAUAAGCGGAGGAAAAGAAACUAACUAGGAUUCCCUCAGUAACGGCGAGUGAAGCGGGAAGAGCUCAAAUUUGAAAUCUUCAAGGUUCUACCUUGACGAAUUGUAGUUUAAAGAAGUGUUUUCUGUUGGAGUUUUGGUAAAAGUUCUUUGGAAUAGGACAUCAUAGAGGGUGAGAAUCCCGUAUUUGACCAUUAUUUCCAACUUUGUGAUACACUUUCAAAGAGUCGGAUUGUUUGGGAAUGCAGUCCAAAAUGGGUGGUAAAUUUCAUCUAAAGCUAAAUACUGGCGAGAGACCGAUAGCGAACAAGUACCGUGAGGGAAAGAUGAAAAGAACUUUGAAAAGAGAGUUAAACAGUACGUGAAAUUGUCAAAAGGGAAGCGUCUGACACCAGUGUUGUUUUCUCGAAAAUCAAUUAAAAAUGGCAGGAUUUUGUGUUGUAUUGACUUUAUCAGCUUUCUGCACUUUUUUCUUGUCUUUUUUAAUGCACUUUUCGUUUAACAAGUCAACAUCAAUUUCUUUUGUUGUAAAAGGGUCAUUGGAAGGUGGCUUUCUUUUCGGAGAAAGUGUUUAUAGCCUUUGGCCUCUGCAAUCGGAGAGAUUGAGGUCUGCAGCGUAGAUCCUUCGGGGUUAGAUGCAUUUGUGCUAAGUUAUAGCCUUUCAUAGACAACUUGUUGACUAUGAUCAGUCAUGUAGCUUACUCGCUUAUGUCAUUUUACCUACGCUUAGGAUGU